rnacentral:rRNA from 1 species
GAUGAACGCUGGCGGCGUGCCUAAUACAUGCAAGUCGAGCGAAUGGAUUAAGAGCUUGCUCUUAUGAAGUUAGCGGCGGACGGGUGAGUAACACGUGGGUAACCUGCCCAUAAGACUGGGAUAACUCCGGGAAACCGGGGCUAAUACCGGAUAACAUUUUGAACCGCAUGGUUCGAAAUUGAAAGGCGGCUUCGGCUGUCACUUAUGGAUGGACUCGGGGCGCAUUAGCUAGUUGGUGAGGUAACGGCUCACCAAGGCAACGAUGCGUAGCCGACCUGAGAGGGUGAUCGGCCACACUGGGACUGAGACACGGCCCAGACUCCUACGGGAGGCAGCAGUAGGGAAUCUUCCGCAAUGGACGAAAGUCUGACGGAGCAACGCCGCGUGAGUGAUGAAGGCUUUCGGGUCGUAGAACUCUGUUGUUAGGGAAGAACAAGUGCUAGUUGAAUAAGCUGGCACCUUGACGGUACCUAACCAGAAAGCCACGGCCAACUACGUGCCAGCCGCCGCCGUAA